GCAGAAGAACCGACCGACUUAUAUAAUAUAAUAUUAUAUUAUAAUAAUAAUAGUAUAAAAUUAUUUAAUGCAUAAUAGUGUUCUGAUGUUCGCGUAUUAUCGUACUGCAGCUGUGGACUCGAUAAAAUUAUUACUACGUGCCGAUGAGAAUGAUUUAAGUAUGACGAUGACAAACGACGGAGCUGUAGGACCGAGUGGCCGUGCCUUUGUGGACGACUACGAGACGACGAGUUGAUUCCGCCGGGACGUGUCCGCAAAA